CAAAUCUCCAAAUCGAGAGCCGAUUCAUCUCCAUCUGCAUUUCAUCUCAAUCUCUACUGUAUUUCAUCAACAAGCCGAUUCAACUACAAUCGAGGACAUCAGUUUACUUCUCAUUCCCUCUCUGCCUCCAUCGACGACACCGUCGUCCACCCCGGACUUCAUCACCAACUGAUUCAACUACAGUCAUCCCCAAUCCAAUGAUUCGAAAUGGUUGACACACACAAAUCAUCGACCGAAGAAGUCCACAAUAUACUCGUAAGCUGGCGGCUAAAUCAACGCCGGUCAAACAAUCAACUCGCAAGCCCGAUGCAUAUACUAGAAGCAAAGUUCCUGAGCCAGAAGGUUUGGAAGCUAAAGGGAUCCUCAUUAGGUCAUGAUGCACAACAAUAGAUAUUAAAUCAAUUAUAAUAAAUUAAUUAAACUAUCUGCUAGCUUAAAUGUCAACAUUUUACAAAUCAGAUACACCAUGGAGGUCAU